GUCGAACGCGAAAGUCCCGCAAGGGGCAAGUAGAGUGGCAAACGGGUGAGUAACACGUGGGUGACCUGCCUUCGAGCGGGGGAUAACGUCCCGAAAGGGACGCUAAUACCGCAUGACAUCCUGCCUUUGAACAGGUGGAGAUCAAAGCUGGGGAUCGCAAGACCUAGCACUUGAAGAGGGGCCCGCGCCUGAUUAGCUAGUUGGUGAGGUAACGGCUCACCAAGGCGACGAUCAGUAUCCGGCCUGAGAGGGCGGACGGACACACUGGGACUGAGACACGGCCCAGACUCCUACGGGAGGCAGCAGUGGGGAAUUGUUCGCAAUGGGCGCAAGCCUGACGACGCAACGCCGCGUGGAGGAUGAAGACCUUCGGGUCGUAAACUCCUUUCGAUCGAGACGAAUGGCCUCCGGGUGAACAAUCUGGAGGAGUGACGGUACCGAGAGAAGAAGCCCCGGCUAACUCCGUGCCAGCAGCCGCGGUAAUACGGGGGGGGCAAGCGUUGUUCGGAAUUACUGGGCGUAAAGGGCUCGUAGGCGGCCAACUAAGUCAGACGUGAAAUCCCUCGGCUUAACCGGGGAACUGCAUCUGAUACUGGAUGGCUUGAGUUCGGGAGAGGGAUGCGGAAUUCCAGGUGUAGCGGUGAAAUGCGUAGAUAUCUGGAGGAACACCGGUGGCGAAGGCGGCAUCCUGGACCGACACUGACGCUGAGGAGCGAAAGCCAGGGGAGCAAACGGGAUUAG
rnacentral:rRNA from 1 species